rnacentral:rRNA from 1 species
UACAGAGGGUGCAAGCGUUAAUCGGAAUUACUGGGCGUAAAGCGCGCGUAGGUGGUUUGUUAAGUUGGAUGUGAAAGCCCCGGGCUCAACCUGGGAACUGCAUUUGAAACUGGCGGGCUUGAGUAUGGCAGAGGGGGGUGGAAUUCCGCGUGUAGCAGUGAAAUGCGUAGAGAUGCGGAGGAACACCGAUGGCGAAGGCAGCCCCCUGGGCCAAUACUGACGCUCAGGCACGAAAGCGUGGGGAGCAAACAGG